ensembl:lncRNA
CUUUAAUUGUUAAAUAACUUUACCUAAAUAUAACCCUGAUAAUUACAGGUUGUUUGUUGAUAAUAACUAAGUAAUAUAGAGAAGUCAGAGUUUCACCCCUGAACGUGAAAUGAAGAGGAGCAGCUGAUGGGGGAGAGAUGGAGGGGAGAGAUGGAGGCAGGGGGAGAGAUGGAGGGGAGAGAUGGAGGCAGGGGGAGAGAUGGAGGGGAGAGAUGGAGGGGGAGAGAUGGAGGCAGGGGAGAGAUGGAGGGGAGAGAUGGAGGCAGGGGGGAGAGAUGGAGGGGGAGAGAUGGAGGCAGGGGGAGAGAUGGAGACACAGAGGGAGAAAGGGAGGAACUACUUUCUGCCUCCGCUGCCAGCUGACUGCAAACUACAAGUUCCCAGCGAGUUGUGGGUGUCCGGGCGCUGCCGUCAGCAAAGUGUCGGUUGAAGUAAACAAAAUGGAGGACUAGCUUAAUGCUAAAGUGGGAGACGUGAAUAAAGAGCUCCAUGGCGACGUUCAAAGAACCGUAAUGCGCCCCCACCCCUCCGCCUCUGUCCAUGGUGCUACCGUUACUACCCUCUGAUCCGCCCGGCACAAUGUCGACUUGUGUCUUCGCUCACAACAAAGAACACGCACACACAUUGCCGCCAUUUUGUUCACGUUGUAGUAAUUUGUGCGGUAAAAGUGAGGAGAAGUUGUUCGAGUUGACGACACAUUCAAUCACCAGCUGCCAUCUCUGCUCGCUCAUCAACUUUCCGAUCACAUCCUCCUCCCCCUCCUCCCGACGCCGGGCUCCCGUUGGUUCCCCGCGCUGCCCCUCAAUCAUCGCAGCUCUUGAUUGGCUCGGCUGGGACCAAUAGCGGCACGCCUGUGGGUAAAGGGGCGGGAGGAGGAGGCGGGGGUCAGAGUGACAGACAGGGCGAAAGAGGCUGGAUAUCUGGGAAGAAAACGG